GUUAAGUUGGGAUUUUAUUUUUUU
rnacentral:piRNA from 1 species